rnacentral:lncRNA from 1 species
ACCAGGUAGAAAGUUGAAACAAGAACAACUUUUAUUUAGAUUGUACAAAAUAUAGAGAUUACAACCACCUUAAAGUAUUGUUACAAAAGAACAUAAUUAAGCUAGUUACAGAAACAAAUUUAGGAUAUAUAAUCCUUUUAUCUGCUACAUAACUAUCUUAUAGAACCUAAUUACCAAAUUUAUUUUCUCAUAACUGAUACAACACUGUAUGCUACAAAACAACAACAACACUUGACUCACUUCCUUUGUUUUUGAACUUUUCUUCUUUCAAUGAAUACAAACAUUGAAUUUUGAAAUAACUUAGGCAAUGUUUUUUUUCACCUUUUACGUUUUCUUGGAAUUAUUCCCAGUAGAAGCUCAGCGAGAAGAGCGUGAACCAUUUCUGAGUUUAGUAUCUCCAGAAUGAACCAUGUUUUCAGCAGUGCUACGAUGCUCUUUUACUCUUCCAUUUGAAGAAGCAGAACCCUUCUUUCCAUCUGAAUCUUUCUUAUCACCCAAAUAAUUGCUGGGGCUAUCAACAUUCUUAGAACGCGAUGGGGAACUCAUUCUUCUUGUUUAUACAAUGUGCUAUAUUUCUUCUGUGUUUGAGAUUUAUGAACAUGAUGGCAUCUUUGGCAUGUAUUUGUAUACGCAGAGAUGCAUGUAGAAUGGAACUACCAAGUAAUUCAUCCACAAUUCCAUUUCAUAGUCACAACAUGGUUUCAAAUGUUGAAUGUUUCAAUUCAGUCUUCAUAAUUUGAAUAACUAUGAAAUUGCAAAUGUUUUUCAUGGUUUGAUCGUGAAACUGCAACGAGUUCUUUUGUUGUUGGUUUUAUAUUAUUAUUCUGAAUCUGUCUGUGAAAUGGUAAAAGGUUUGAGUUUGAGGUGGAAAUGGUUGCAUUAAUGUAUGGAAUGUUCUUGUGAAAUGCAUUGUGUUUUUGGGUGGAGAUUGAGAUCAGAACCGAUUUAGCGUGCUUUGAUUUUCUUCCAGAGCCCAUUUCAAUGCAUGACCACACGAAACAGAGUAUUCGUGGUGUGAAACUUUGAGUGAGUCUUGGUAAUUAAAUUCAUGUGAAAUUUCUGAUUAUUUUCAACGUUUAAUGUGAAAUUUUUAAUCUUUUGCAUCCUUUGAUCAUAUGGGUGUAACGAAUUUCAUGGAAAAUGAAAAGAAAAAAAUAAAGUAGAUUGCUCCGUUAAUUGUACAGAAAACAGUGCAUGAAGAAUAUAUUAUAAUAUUUUGCUCUGUUAUUUCAAACUUUAUUACAUAUAAAUAUAUAAAAACAUUCUCAUUCUUUUCAUGUAAGAAACUGUGAAUUGCGGCUUCAUUUUCCAAACAAUAACUUAAUUCAUUAUUUUGCGUCUAUUCUAUAUUUUUUUUUCUAAUAGAUUUUGGGUCAUACUAUUAUAAAAAAAAAUUGAAUUUAGCAUCAUUAUUUUAAAUAUUUUCAGUUUAAUUUAAUUUUUAAAAAUAAGUUAAUAUAAUUUUUAUUCCGAAAUGAAUGAUAAUAAUGUUAUAAAAAGAAUAAAAGGUAUCAUGCACGAUAAGUUAACAUGCAGUAGGACGAAUUGAAAAAUUGAUUGUAAUAAAAACAAUUAAGCCAAUUUCUUUCCAUGGCGAGUUGGGGAGGAAGCACUUCGGGAGGCGGUGGGGUUUAGGAGCAAUUGAAGGAUGAAUCCUACGUGUACAAUAGAUCAGAGUGCACAUUUGCAGUUGUUUGUGUCACAUCAGAAACACUUAACGUUCUUAGUCUAAAGUUAACAAAAGGGAUAAACUUAAAUACAUUUUAAAAAAUAUUAGGACAAAAUUGAAUUUUUUAAUAACCACGAUAGUCAAUUGAAUAUUGGUCUUAAAUGUAGGGACCAAAAGGGUAAUUAUACCUUUAUUUAGUUAUCUUGAUUUUUAUAAGUGAACUGGUAUAUCGAAAGGUCGAGAGUUAACCGAGAAGUCGAAAGGUCGAGAGAUAAUUAGUGAAAGGUUUAUGGGGAAAAACAACUACAUGUGUUAUCUUAAGUAAAGAACACAUAAAUACAAUAAAGAAAUUAAUCAACUAUUAAGAAAAUAAUUACAAGAUAAAAGACUAAUUAAGAAAAGAUAAACAAAAGGAUUUAAUCGGAAGUCAUUGGCCCAAUAGGCCCAUUAGUGAGUAGUAUAAAUAGAUAGCACAUUUAAUUCAGUAGUGAGAUUUUGAAUGAAUGAUUAAUGAACAAACACUGACUUAAGCUUGGGAGAAUUCCUGCAAGUACCACACCUCAUACUCAAGUUGUAGAAGGAGUUGGAGAUGUUGAAGAAGAAAAGUACUAGUGAGAUAGAGGCACUCAAGGCCGAAAAUAUUUAUAUCAAGCAAAAGCUUAAAAAAGAAGAUACCAUCCCUUUUAAUCCAACACGGGAGUAUGUUGGAUCGAGUACAUAACCAAAUCCGACUACAAUCAAUAACUUUGAUGCAUCACAUAGAAGGCAGAACACUAUGUCUCAUGAUGUCUGUGGGACCUCGAUAAGAAAACACCCCUUUUCUAAAGGAAUCAUGGAAGUAUUGUUGACCGAUAACUGGAAGAGUCUGACACUAGGGAAGUAUGUGUUAGAAUAUAUGGCUUUAAACUAGAGGGGGGGGGGUGAAUUGUUUAAAGAGGGUUUUCGCAAAAUUUUAAACCUUGAAUGAAAUUACUUUGAGAAUACCUUGAUUGAGAAAUCAGUUUUUCAAAACACAAAGCUAAAAGCACAGCACCAGUAAAACAAUCGGUUGUUUCACAGAAACAAUCGGUUGUUUAUACCAGUAAACAAAUAUCAAAACUGAAUUUAAAAAGUUAGGGAUAGAGAGAAUGCACACAGAUUUUUAUACUGGUUCACUCUAAACCCAGAGCUACAUCCAGUUUUCUCCGAAACCACUGAGGAAUUCCACUAAGCAAUCAAACCUAGAUCACUUACACCACAACCAAGAAAGUGACCUUGAUCCCCUCAAGACACACACUUCUCUUGGCCAACACACCAACACUAAGAAUGCUGAUUUUGAUCCCCUCAAGAACACACAACACUUCUCAGCAAAACACAUAAAUAAAGUUGUUCAACAGAAUACAAGGAUUACACUUGUUACAAAUGUUGGGUUUAAUAGUGCCAAAGUUCAAGAGGGGGGGUGAAUUGACCUUUUAAAACUUCCUCGCAGAAACAAUGUUUAACCCAGUUUUACAGAAAAUAAAUCGAUUUAUGUGAAAAUGAACAAAUUUAUUUCAGCACUGUUUUUCUGUUUGAAACACUUUUAAUACAGCAGGGUUAAUCACAAGAUUAUGCAGUGAGAGUUUCCAGAUGCACACACACAGAUAUCAGAUUUGAAAAACAGUGAAACACAAAACAGCAAGCUUUAAUUUCAAGCAAGUGAUUAAGAUUCAAUUGAUAGCAUGCUAGUUAAUUGAGUGACCUUUGCAAACAACCUGUUCCAAUGGCUUUUAACAGACUAUGAGUGUUCUUCUUGAUGUUAAGCAAUUUUCCAGAAAUUAAGAACAAUGAAUUACAGAACAGCAAACUUCAACUUUAAGCAAUUGUUUAAGGUUCAAUUAAUAGCAUUAACAGUUUCUUGAGCAGCCUAUCACAGUCAAUCUGUUCCAAUUGCUUUUAGCAGAUUUUAUACGUUCUUAUCAGAUUAAACCAACUUUUUCAGAAAUCAAGAACAGUAUGCACAGUGCCCAGAAAGAACAGAUUUAUUUUCAAUUGAACAAAUUUAUUUCUUUGUUGUUUUAUCAAUUAUGCAGAAACGAAAUUGCAGAGAGUGAGAGAGAAUGAACACAAGCAAUUAUACUAGUUCACUCAACCUGAGCUACAUCCAGUCUUCACCAACAACAGGUGGAAAUCACUAACACACAUAGUACAACCAAGUACAAUUCCCACUGUUCUUGAAACCUACAAGAACUUAGGUACUCUUGCUGAAAAAAACCUAUUUCAGCAUACACACACUCACUCUUCAAGAACACCUAUCAAGAAGAGUGUUCAACCAAACUAUACAAGAUAGAGAUGUGAAACGACUACACCUGAUUGAGGAUACACAGAUCUGCCUUAAACCAGUAGGCAAGAUUGCUAGAACAGUAGCUGCACCUCACACCAAGCUUUUGGAACCAAACCAAGAACAAGCACUUUGUGAUUUUUGAAAUCUUUGAAGAACAAAUGCUAAUCCUUUGAAAACACUUAACUCUCUGCUGUCAAAACUUGUUUUUUUUGCAAAUGUAUGAACUGUUUGAAUCGUUAUUAAACCCAGAAACAAGUUUUCUUUUUAUAAAAAGCCAGCUUAUAACAGAAUUUUGAAAAACAGUUAAAGCUGUUAUAAAAUGAACAGAUUGAAAAUAAAAUGAACUNNNNNNNNNNNNNNNNNNNNNNNNNNNNNNNNNNNNNNNNNNNNNNNNNNNNNNNNNNNNNNNNNNNNNNNNNNNNNNNNNNNNNNNNNNNNNNNNNNNNGAAAAACGUUUAAGCUUGGCAUGGCACCAGAGAUAAAAAAAAUCUAUUCAUUUACAGAUGAACAGAUUUAUUUUUCAAAAUGAAAACAGAGAAAGUUUAACAAUUUAAAACUCAGUCGUUUUGAAAAGAAGAAGACUUAGUCAAAAUACCUGAUGCACAAAAUCUAAUUUUUACAAGACUUAGCCAAGGCAUCAGUGAAAAAAAAAUGAAUCUGUUUAUUUAGAAAUGAACAGAUUUAUUUUUAUGCAGUAAACGUGUUUUUGUGUAAAACAUGUGAAAAACAGUUUAAGAAAACUUAUGCUUGUUCUUAUCAUAUGGCCAGUGGUUAUGAGGUGAGUUACUCAGCAAAAAGCUACUCUUAGACAACCUCUAAGCACUAACUAAGACAUACUUAAAGCAAGGCAAAAAUACACAUAAAAUGUACAUAUAAGACUUCAUCAAACACUACAUAUAGGUCUUCAUCAAACACAAUCUUGAAGGGGCAGCAACCAUCUUCAACAACAAAAGCAAAUCUGAAAUCAAUACAAGCAGAAAUCCUAUCUCACACUCUUUGAUCAAUCUCAAUCUCUAAGCAAUCUCAACUCUUUGAAAAACUCAAAAACUUGUGUUAAAAUCUUAUUACUCAAAUAUGUUUUUCUGAGUAUAUUCAAAGAUAUUGUUUGUUAUCAAAUCUUAACAAACUUAUUCAUUGUAUUUAAAAGAUUGGUCAACGCAUUAAAGACUGGAGCAUAAUCAGUUAAAACAUUUAAAGCUCAGUCAAAGCUAAAACAGUUUUUCUGUUCUGGUACCAAAACAAACAAUCGGUUGUUUCCACGAAUCAAUCGGUUGUUUUAGUUUUAACAGCUCAACCAUUUGAAAAACAGUUUUCAACCUUUUCUAAAAACACCUAAGUAUAAAACAAUCGGUUGUUUCGACAAAACAAUCGGUUGUUUCGACAAAACAAUCGGUUGUUUCGACAAAACAAUCGGUUGUUUCGACAAAACAAUCGGUUGUUUCGACAAAACAAUCGGUUGUUUCGACAAAACAAUCGGUUGUUUCGACAAAACAAUCGGUUGUUUCGACAAAACAAUCGGUUGUUUUUCACUUAUUUUGAAAAACACUUUUCUUUUAAAAAGAUUGAGAAUGUCUAUGCUUUGGAUUCAAUCAAGAGUGGAUUACAUAACCAAUCUACCCCAGAUCCUAUCUAGGACAACUCAGCAACAACAAGCACAGCCUAGCCUUUAACAUCCUUCAAAGGGUUUGGAUUCUUCAAAGCUUGGACACUACUUGGUUCAACAAUCUCCCCCUAUUUGAUGAAGACAAAUCUCUGGUGCUUGUGUUUGAUCUGAUUGAAUCUGAAGCAGUACCUGCAAAACUAGCAUAUAUACAGUCUAAUGCUUCUUACAACAACAGGUUAGAUUUUACCACAAUUAAAGUAUAAAACCUGAAAAACAAUAGGUUGUUUACUCAAAACAAUCGGUUGUUUCUAUCAGCAGUAGCAGAAAACAGUUUUAUAUCAAAGAUUUUAACAGGUUACACGGUUUCAGAUAAAGAUAUACAAGAACCAAUUAAUUAUCCCCCUAUUUGUCUUCACAAAUAGACUUUAGCAUGUAUCAAAACAGAUUUAGGAGAGAUUAUUAAGAUCAAGGAUACCUAACUCAUUUCUUAGGAAGAAAAACCUCUCUUUUGGUAAAGGUUUCGUGAAGAUGUCAGCUAACUGCAAUUUGGUCUCCACAAACUUCACUUCACAGUUCCCAUUGUUUACAUGAUCCCUGAUGAAAUGAUGCCUUAUCUCAAUAUGUUUGGUCCUUGAGUGCUGAAUCUGAUUUUUAGUAAGAUUGAUGGCCCUUGUGUUAUCACACAUCAAAGGGACCUUGCUGAUUUGUAAUCCAAAGUCUGCAAGUUGUUGUUUGAGCCACAAAAUCUGUGCACAACAGCUUCCAACAGCAAUAUACUCAGCCUCAGCAGUAGAGAGAGCAACGCAUGCUUGCUUCUUGUUAUGCCAUGAGAUUAGGCUUGAGCCAAGAAGGUGGCAAGUGCCACUUGUGCUCUUUUUAUCUAGCUUGCAACCUGCAAAGUCAGAAUCUGAAUAACCAAUUAAAUGAAUUGGAGAGUGAGAAGGAUACCAUAACCCAACAGAUAAUGUUCCUUUGAGAUAUUUCAGAAUUCUUUUUGCAGCUUAAAAGUGUGACUCUUUAGGAUUUGCUUGAUAUCUUGCACAUAGACAUACCGCAAACAUGAUGUCCAACCUACUAGCUGUUAGAUAAAGCAAAGAGCCAAUCAAUCCUCUGUAUUUUGUUUGAUCUACAUUCUUUCCAACAACAUCAGCAUCCAUGUAACAACUUGAUGGCAUUGGAGUGUUUGCUUCUUCGCAACUCUCCAUAACAAAUUUCUUGAGAAUCUCCUUGCAAUACUUUGAUUGACAUAUAAAGAUCCCAUCCUUUUUUUUGCUUAACCUGCAAUCCAAGAAGGAAAGACAGUUCUCUCAUCAUAGACAUUUCAAACUCACCUUUCAUUGCAGCCACAAAUUCUUCACACAAACUAUCUUGUGUAGCACCAAAGAUGAUGUCAUCAACAUAGAUUUGCACAAGAAUUAUUUCUGCAUUUGACUUUUUGAUGAAGAGAGUCUUGUCUACCAUUCCCCUUUCAUAACCAUGAGAUAGCAAAAAGUUGCUAAGCCUCUCAUACCACUGUCUUGGAGCUAUCUUCAGUCCAUACAAAGCUUUCUUCAACAGAUGAUGUUCCUUUGAGAUAUUUCAGAAUUCUUUUUGCAGCUUUGAAGUGUGACUCUUUAGGAUUUGCUUGAUAUCUUGCACAUAGACAUACCGCAAACAUGAUGUCCGACCUACUAGCUGUUAGAUAAAGCAAAGAGCCAAUCAAUCCUCUGUAUUUUGUUUGAUCUACAUUCUUUCCAGCAGCAUCAACAUCCAUGUAACAGCUUGAUGGCAUUGGAGUGUUUGCUUCUUCGCAACUCUCCAUUUCAAAUUUCUUGAGAAUCUCCUUGCAAUACUUUGAUUGACAUAGAAAGAUCCCAUCCUUUUUUUGCUUAACUUGCAAUCCAAGAAGGAAAGACAGUUCUCCCAUCAUAGACAUUUCUAACUCACCUUUCAUUACAGCCACAAAUUCUUCACACAAACUAUCUUGUGUAGCACCAAAGAUGAUGUCAUCAACAUAGAUUUGCACAAGAAUUAUUUCUGCAUUUGACUUUUUGAUGAAGAGAGUCUUGUCUACCAUUCCCCUUUCAUAACCAUGAGAUAGCAGAAAGUUGCUAAGCCUCAUACCACUGUCUUGGAGCUAUCUUCAGUCCAUACAAAGCUUUCUUCAACAGAUGAUGUUCCUUUGAGAUAUUUCAGAAUUCUUUUUGCAGCUUUGAAGUGUGACUCUUUAGGAUUUGCUUGAUAUCUUGCACAUAGACAUACCGCAAACAUGAUGUCCGACCUACUAGUUGUUAGAUAAAGCAAAGAGCCAAUCAAUCCUCUGUAUUUUGUUUGAUCUACAUUCUUUCCAGCAACAUCAACAUCCAUGUAACAGCUUGAUGGCAUUGGAGUGUUUGCUUCUUCGCAACUCUCCAUUUCAAAUUUCUUGAGAAUCUCCUUACAAUACUUUGAUUGACAUAGAAAGAUCCCAUCCUUUUUUUGCUUAACUUGCAAUCCAAGAAGGAAAGACAGUUCUCCCAUCAUAGACAUUUCUAACUCACCUUUCAUUACAGCCACAAAUUCUUCACACAAACUAUCUUGUGUAGCACCAAAGAUGAUGUCAUCAACAUAGAUUUGCACAAGAAUUAUUUCUGCAUUUGACUUUUUGAUGAAGAGAGUCUUGUCUACCAUUCCCCUUUCAUAACCAUGAGAUAGCAGAAAGUUGCUAAGCCUCUCAUACCUGUCUUGGAGCUUGCUUCAGUCCAUAUAAAGGUUUCUUCAACUUGAAGACAUGGUUGGGAUAUUUAUGAUCUUCAAAGCCCAGUGGUUGAUCUACAUAAACUUCCUCAUUGAUGUAGCCAUUCAAGAAGGCACUCUUGACAUCCAUUUGGAAGAGUUUGAAACCAUUCUUACAAGCAAAUGCCAGUUGCAGCCUUACAACCUCCAAUCUAGCAACAGGAACAAAGGUUUCACCAUAAUCUAUGCCCUCCUCUUGAUUGUAGCCUUUGGCAACUAGCAUUGCUUUGUUCCUUGUGAUCACACCAUCUUCAUCUAAAUUGUUCCUGAAAACCCAUUUUGAACCAAUAAUGUUCAUUUCAUCAGUUCUAGGGACAAGAAACCAUACCUCAUUCCUUGCAAACUGAUUCAACUCCUCAUGCAUAGCUUCAACCCAUUUCUCAUCCUUAAGAGCUUCAUCAAUUGACUUUGGCUCAAUUUGAGAGACGAAAGUUGUGUGCCUACAGAAGUUUGAGAUGGAGCUACGUGUGGAAACACCUUCCUUUAUUUGCCCUAUGAUGUUUUCCACUGACAGAUCUCUAGGAAUCCUCCACUCUUUGGGCAGCUCACUCUGUUGCAGAAUUUCAAUCGGUUGUUUCUGCGAAUCAACCGAUUGUUUUUCUUCACAGAUUUCCAACUUCUCCAAACUGAUGCUCUGUUCAUCUUCUUCAGCACUGGUCUUCGGGAUUUGGAUGUUUCUAUGAUCUACCUCAUCAAAGACAACGUGAAAUGAUUCUUCUACAGUCAUCAACCUCUUGUUGUAGAUUCUGUAUGCAUGACUUGUGAGAGAAUACCCUAUGAAGAUGCCAAGAUCCGCUUUCUCAUCAAACAUCCCUAGAUUUUCCUUUCCAUUGUUGAGAACGAAACAACUGCAGCCAAAAACUCUAAGAUGACUGAACUUCCUUCCAUUGAAGAGUUCAUAUGGAGUCUUCUUCAGAAUAGGUCUUAUAAGCACUCUAUUCAUCACAUAACAGGAUGAGAAAACCAUCUUUAAACCAUUCACCCCCCUCUAGUUUAAAGCCAUACAUUCUAACAAAACUGACUUGGAUGAACAUGUUGCCAUAUAUAUCACUUAAGUUAGUUUGUACAGUUAUGACCACACCAUUUUGUGCAGAGUGUUCCUGACAACACUAAAAUGAGCUAUUUUAAGUUGGUUCACAAGAUUGCCACCACAUUCAAUCGAUUCUUUUGAUACUUUGAUGAUGAAGUUUGGAGCUCAUUUUGCCACCAUUAGAUCACACCAUUUAAACUUCUAUUGUAUUGGUUAAUAUUCUAUGGGAAAAGGAAGAACCGUUGAGAACUUUUAUGGAGAGGUUUGGAAGGGUAGCCUCGAGUAUACGUAACUUAAGUUCUGAGAUAAUUAUGCAUCAUAUGGUUACUUCAUUGAGACCGAGACCAUUUGUCGACAGUUUGUGUAAACAGCCUGUAACUAAUCUUGAUGAGUUAAGGCAAAGAGCAACAAAAUUUAUGCAACUAGAAGAGUUGAAAAGCUUUAAAAGUCAAAUAAGGAUGGAUGAAGGGGUUCAUAGGAAGGAUAAGGAGGAAGCAAGAUGGAAGAAGUCAAAGGAGGUAUACCAUGAUCCAAGAGUAAGAAGGUAUCCAAAUGAUGAAAGGAGGGCUAGAGAAAGGAGUUCGAGAAAGAGAGAAAGAAGAAGUCUAAUAAGGCCAAUAAAAGGGGUAAACAAUACUACAUCUUGAGGGUUUACUAGAGGAGGGGUUUCUUCGUCAGCAAGAAAUGAGCAUGUACGGUCGUCUAAAACAACUCACUCAAUCCAGAAAAGAAGUAUGCCGCCAAUAAUAUUUACUGAUGAAGACUUCCAAAAUAUUGAUCCUAAUCAAAACGAUCCAAUGGUGAUUAAAAUUAAUGUAUAAGAUUUCAUGGUGAUGAAGACGCUAGUUGAUUAAGGGAGCUCUGAUAUUCUGUAUUGGGAUACCUUUUUAAAAUUGAAGUUGUCGGGGGGGAUGAUAUUCAACCACAUUAUGAGCAAAUAAUUGGUUUUCCAUGAGAAAGGGUGAGGACGAAGGGAUAUAUUGAUUUGAAGACAAGAUUUGGAACAGGAAGUCUAACUCAAGUUAUUAAUGUUCGUAUCUGGUGGUAGAAGCUAAAACAUCUUACACUGUUCUGUUUGGGAAGGUCAUCCUUAAACAAACUUGGAGCUAUUGUGUCAACACCUCAUUUAACAAUAAAAUUCCCAACUGGCAAAAAGGAAGUUGCAACAAUUUAUGUGGAUCAACGCACAACCUAAGAAUGUUAUUUAGCAAGCCUGAAAAUUGAACCAACAUUGACGAGUAAAUAUGAGGGGAGCAUUGAUAAGGGAAAGAUGGUAGCCAUGACAAAUUUGAUCCUAGGUCUGACGAAGAAAGGAUGGAGCCAAAGGAGGAAAAAGUGGUAUGUAAGUUGGAUGAUGAAAAUCAUUUCACAUACAUGGGAAGUUCAUUUCCAAAAGAAGAGAUGUGAAUGCUGGUUAAAGUAUUACAGAAAAAUAAAGAUUUAUUUGCCUGGACUAUUGUUGAUAUGUAGAGAAUUAAUCUGGAUGUAAUCACCCAUAAGUUAAAUAUAUAUCGGUCAACAAAAUCGAUAACUUAGAAGAGGAUAAGAUUGGGGGAGGAGGAAAGGAUGGUGACGAUUGAAGAAACCAAAAAUUUGUUACAAACGGGUUUUAUUGAAAAAUAUUAAGUAUACAACAUGGUUGGAAAAUGUGAUGUUAGUUAAAAAAUCAAAUGAGAAAUGGAGAAUGCAGAAUACACGAAUUUGAAUAAGGCAUGCCCAAAUAAUUCUUAUCAUUUGCCAAAUAUAGAGGUUUGGUUGACGGAGCUUUAGGGAAAGUUGUGUUAAGUUUUCUUGAUGCAUAUUUAGGAUAUACCCAUAUACCAAUGAACAUGAUGAUAUACUGAAAAUUGCAUUUACCAUUAAAAUAUCUAAUCUUUACUAUCGGGUAACCUACUAGAGACUAAUGCUGGAGCAAUCUACCAGAGACUAAUGGAUAAGAUGUUCCAAAAACAUAUUGAAAGGAAUAUUAAGGUGUAUGUGGAUGAUGUAGUGGUUAUGACAGUGGAAACUCAUGUGAAUUAUCUGAAGGAAGUUUAUGCUAUCGAAUAGGUACUUUUCAUUUCAAUCAUCAUUUCUCCACAAUAAAUAUAUGGUAAGCCUUAUAAUCGAAUAAUUGUUUCUUUUUUAUUUAUUUGUUUAUUAUUUAAAAAAAAAAACAAAUUCUUUCAUCAUUUUGUUGCUUUAUAUGUGAUAGAAUGAUCAUACUUUUCACUCUAUUUGUUUCUUUUCAUUUCUCACACUUUCUUUCAUUUUUUUUUUAAUGAAUUUAGGCUAACAUUUAGUGGAAUCUUGAUAAGUUAUAUCAUUUUUCUUGUCAAUACCAACCAAUAAUAAGAAAAUAAUUAAAAUUCUUAAAUUUUUUACACAUUAUUACCUAUAAAUUAUUGGAUUCAAAGAUAAGUUAAUUUAUCUUUAUCGAGUCCAACCACAUCAGAACCAAUCUUGAUACCAGGUAGAAAGUUGAAACCAGAACAACUUUUAUUUAGAUUGUACAAAAUAUAGAGAUUACAACCACCUUAAAGUAUUGUUGAAAAAGAACAUAAUUAAGCUAGUUACAGAAACAAAUUUAGGAUAUAUAAUCCUUUUAUCUGCUACAUAACUACUUUAUAGAACCUAAUUACCAAAUUUAUUUUUUCAUAACUGAAACAACACUGCAUGCUACAAAACAACAACAACACUUGACUCACUUCCUUGGUUUUUGAACUUUUUUUCUUUUAAUGAAUACAAACAUUGAAUUUUGAAAUAACUUAGGCAAUGUUUUUUUUACCUUUAAGGAUUAUUCACAGUAGAAGCAUAGCUUGAAGAGCGUGAACCAUUUCUGAGUUUAGGAUCUUCAGAACGAACCAUGUAAUCAGCAGUGCUACGAUGCUGUUUUUCUCUUCCAUUUGAAGAAGAAGAACCCUUAUUUCCAUCUGAAUCUUUCUUUUCACCCAAAUAAUAGCUGGUGCUAUCAUCAUUCUUAGAACGCGAUGGGGAACUCAUUCUUCUUGAUUAUACAAUGUGCUAUAUUUCUUGUGUGUUUCAGACUAAUGAACACGAUGAUGGCCAUGUAUUUGUAUACGUAGAGAUGCAUGUACAAUGGAACUACCAAGUAAUUCAUCCACAAUUCC